rnacentral:tRNA from 1 species
UGUUAGCUCAGUUGGUAGAGCAAUUGACUCUUAAUCAAUGGGUCCAGGGUUCGAGUCCCUG